GCCCAUGGUUGUGAAAUUUAAAAAUUAUAAUUAAUUUUAAGAUAACUUAAAGGACGCGGUAUCUUGACCGUGGUAAUGUAGCAUAAUCACUCGCCACUUAAUUAGUGGAUGGUAUGAAUGGUCAAACGAAUAUAACACUGUCUCAAGUAAAGAUUUUAUAAAAUUGGAAUAAUAGUAAAGAUACUAUUUAAGAUUAUAAGACGAAAAGACCCUAUAGAGCUUAACUAUACUCUUUUAUUAAAAUAAUUAAGUUUACUUAAUUUAAAUUAAAGAUUGGUAGUUUAGUUGGGGCGACUGUUUUCUAAAUAAAACGAAAACAAACAAAAUUAAUAUAAUAAUUUAUUGUAUAAUAAAUAAAUUUAACAAUUACUAUAGUAGGUAAUAAUGACCCGUUUUCUCUCACAAAAAAGGAAAACGAUCAAUAAAUAAAAGCUACCUUAGGGAUAACAGGAUCAUUUUUUCUAGAGAUCAGNGGAAGAAAAUGUC
rnacentral:rRNA from 1 species